AUUGAACGCUGGCGGCAUGCUUUACACAUGCAAGUCGAACGGUAACAGGUUAAGCUGACAAGUGGCGAACGGGUGAGUAAUGCAUCGGAACGUGCCCGAUCGUGGGGGAUAACGCAGCGAAAGCUGCGCUAAUACCGCAUACGAUCUGAGGAUGAAAGCGGGGGACCGUAAGGCCUCGCGCGAUCGGAGCGGCCGAUGUCAGAUUAGGUAGUUGGUGGGGUAAAGGCUCACCAAGCCAACGAUCGGUAGCAGGUCUGAGAGGACGACCAGCCACACUGGGACUGAGACACGGCCCAGACUCCUACGGGAGGCAGCAGUGGGGAAUUUUGGACAAUGGGCGAAAGCCUGAUCCAGCAAUGCCGCGUGCAGGAAGAAGGCCUUCGGGUUGUAAACUGCUUUUGUACGGAGCGAAAAGGCCCUCUCUAAUACAGGGGGUUUAUGACGGUACCGUAAGAAUAAGCACCGGCUAACUACGUGCCAGCCGCCGCCGUAA
rnacentral:rRNA from 1 species